GGGGCCGUAGCUCAACUGGUUAGAGCAUCGGACUGUCGAUCCGAAGGUUGCGCGUUCGAGUCGCGUCGGCCUCG
rnacentral:tRNA from 1 species